CGGAGGCAGCAGUGGGGAAUUUUGGGCAAUGGGCGAAAGCCUGACCCAGCAACGCCGCGUGAGGGAUGAAGGCCUUCGGGUCGUAAACCUCUUUUCUCAGGGACGAUGAUGACGGUACCUGAGGAAGAAGCCACGGCUAACUACGUGCAGCAGCCGCGGUAAUACGUAGGUGGCGAGCGUUGUCCGGAUUUACUGGGCGUAAAGCGCACGCAGGCGGUCGUACAAGUCGAAUGUGAAAGCCCCCGGCUCAACUGGGGAGGGUCAUUCGAUACUGUUCGACUCGAAGGCAGGAGAGGGAAGCGGAAUUCCCGGUGUAGUGGUGAAAUGCGUAGAUAUCGGGAGGAACACCAGUGGCGAAGGCGGCUUCCUGGCCUGUUCUUGACGCUGAUGUGCGAAAGCUAGGGGAGCAAACGGGAUUAGAUACCCUGGUAGC
rnacentral:rRNA from 1 species